rnacentral:rRNA from 1 species
GGAUAGCCCGAAGAAAUUCGGAUUAACACCGCAUAAAAUCACAGUACAGCAUUGUACAAUGAUCAAAUAUUUAUAGGAUUAAGAUGGGCAUGCGUGUCAUUAGUUAGUUGGCGAGGUAACGGCUCACCAAGACCACGAUGACUAGGGGAUCUGAGAGGAUGACCCCCCACACUGGUACUGAGACACGGACCAGACUCCUACGGGAGGCAGCAGUAAGGAAUAUUGGUCAAUGGAGGCAACUCUGAACCAGCCAUGCCGCGUGCAGGAAGACAGCCCUCUGGGUCGUAAACUGCUUUUAUUCGGGAAUAAACCUACUUACGUGUAAGUAGCUGAAUGUACCGAAGGAAUAAGGAUCGGCUAACUCCGUGCCAGCAGCCGCGGUAAUACGGAGGAUCCAAGCGUUAUCCGGAUUUAUUGGGUUUAAAGGGUGCGUAGGCGGCUUAUUAAGUCAGGGGUGAAAGACGGUGGCUCAACCAUCGCAGUGCCCUUGAUACUGAUGAGCUUGAAUACACUAGAGGUAGGCGGAAUGUGACAAGUAGCGGUGAAAUGCAUAGAUAUGUCACAGAACACCGAUUGCGAAGGCAGCUUACUAUGGUGUCAUUGACGCUGAGGCACGAAAGCGUGGGGAUCAAACAGGAUUAGAUACCCUGGUAGUCCACGCCCUAAACGAUGAAUACUCGCUGUUAGCGAUACACAGUUAGCGGCUAAGCGAAAGCGUUAAGUAUUCCACCUGGGGAGUACGCCCGCAAGGGUGAAACUCAAAGGAAUUGACGGGGGCCCGCACAAGCGGAGGAGCAUGUGGUUUAAUUCGAUGAUACGCGAGGAACCUUACCCGGGCUUGAAAGUUAGUGAAUGAGAUAGAGAUAUUUCAGUGAGCAAUCACACGAAACUAGGUGCUGCAUGGCUGUCGUCAGCUCGUGCCGUGAGGUGUUGGGUUAAGUCCCGCAACGAGCGCAACCCCUAUGUUUAGUUGCCAGCACGUUAAGGUGGGGACUCUAAACAGACUGCCUGUGCAAACAGAGAGGAAGGAGGGGACGACGUCAAGUCAUCAUGGCCCUUACGUCCGGGGCUACACACGUGCUACAAUGGAUGGUACAGAGGGCAGCAAGCUGGCAACAGCAAGCAAAUCUCAAAAAGCCAUUCACAGUUCGGAUAGAGGUCUGCAACUCGACCUCUUGAAGUUGGAUUCGCUAGUAAUCGCGUAUCAGCAAUGACGCGG